rnacentral:lncRNA from 13 species
GGUCUACAUGACAUGUGAAAUGAAGGAGCUAAUUCUAAUGUUUGCACACAAAUGCCAAAGACCUGGAAUAAUCAAGUAUACGUUCAAAUCUAGAUGAAUUCAAUGUGAAGAACAGUGGAAAAGGAGACAGUGAAUUGAAUGACAGCUAUUUGAAUAUCAGCAGAGAGGGCUUCAAGAAAAUGUUCUAUCAAAUGAUUGCAAAAUAAGGGGUAAGUUCAAACCUGUGACUUUGAAGCUCUUCCUCUCAAAGCAUCAUAAGACUCAUUCCUGACUCAAUUGCAAUAGUAAAUAAGUGGCCCAAAUAUGUAUUCAUAGAGGGAGUGUCUUGGUCAUUUCAGGUUCCUUUAACAAGAUACCAUAGACUGGCUGGC